AUUGAACGCUGGCGGCAGGCCUAACACAUGCAAGUCGAACGAGUGGCGGACGGGUGAGUAAGGUCUGGAAAACUGCCUGAUGGAGGGGGAUAAGGACUGGAAAAGUUAGCUAAUACCGCAUACCAUCGGAUCUGCCCAGAUGGGAUUAGCUAGUAGGGGGGGUAAAGGCUCACCUAGGCGACGCUCCCUAGCUGGUCUGAGAGGAUGACCGGCCACACUGGAACUGAGACACGGUCCAGACUCCUACGGGAGGCAGCAGUGGGGAAUAUUGCACAAUGGGCGAAAGCCUGAUGCAGCCAUGCCGCGUGUAUGAAGAAGGCCUUCGGGUUGUAAAAUACUUUCCGCGGGGAGGCGGUACCCGCAGAAGAAGCACCGGCUAACUCCGUGCCAGCCGCCGCGGUAAUAC
rnacentral:rRNA from 1 species